rnacentral:rRNA from 1 species
GGAGAACAAAACCCCGGGACGUGUCCCGGACUGCGUGUAUCCGAAGAAAAAGCAUCGGCUAACUCCGUGCCAGCAGCCGCGGUAAUACGGAGGAUGCGAGCGUUAUCCGGAUUUAUUGGGUUUAAAGGGUGCGUAGGCGGUCCGUUAAGUCAGCGGUAAAAUUGCGGGGCUCAACCCCGUCGAGCCGUUGAAACUGGCAGACUUGAGUUGGCGAGAAGUACGCGGAAUGCGCGGUGUAGCGGUGAAAUGCAUAGAUAUCGCGCAGAACUCCGAUUGCGAAGGCAGCGUACCGGCGCCAGACUGACGCUGAGGCACGAAAGCGUGGGGAUCGAACAGGAUUAGAUACCCUGGUAGUCCACGCAGUAAACGAUGAAUGCUGGUUGUCCGGGUCGAAUGAGACCUGG